GACGAACGCUGGCGGCGUGCCUAAUACAUGCAAGUUGAGCGCUGAAGGUUGGUACUUGUACCAACUGGAUGAGCAGCGAACGGGUGAGUAACGCGUGGGGAAUCUGCCUUUGAGCGGGGGACAACAUUUGGAAACGAAUGCUAAUACCGCAUAAAAACUUUAAACACAAGUUUUAAGUUUGAAAGAUGCAAUUGCAUCACUCAAAGAUGAUCCCGCGUUGUAUUAGCUAGUUGGUGAGGUAAAGGCUCACCAAGGCGAUGAUACAUAGCCGACCUGAGAGGGGGAUCGGCCCCAUUGGGACUGAGACACGGCCCAAACUCCUAAGGGAGGCAGCAGUAGGGAAUCUUCGGCAAUGGACGAAAGUCUGACCGAGCAACGCCGCGUGAGUGAAGAAGGUUUUCGGAUCGUAAAACUCUGUUGGUAGAGAAGAAAGUUGGUGAGAGUGGAAAGCUCAUCAAGUGACGGUAACUACCCAGAAAGGGACGGCUAACUACGUG
rnacentral:rRNA from 1 species